ACUCCUACGGGAGGCAGCAGUGGGGAAUUUUGCGCAAUGGGGGAAACCCUGACGCAGCAACGCCGCGUGAGUGAUGAAGGCCUUCGGGUCGUAAAGCUCUGUCAGAGGGAAAGAAAUGUAAUUGUGCUAAUAUCAUGAUUACUUGACGGUACCCUCAAAGGAAGCACCGGCUAACUCCGUGCCAGCAGCCGCGGUAAUACGGAGGGUGCAAGCGUUGUUCGGAAUUAUUGGGCGUAAAGCGCGUGUAGGCGGUUUGUUAAGUCUGAUGUGAAAGCCCCGGGCUCAACCUGGGAAGUGCAUUGGAAACUGGCAGACUUGAAUACGGGAGAGGGUAGUGGAAUUCCUAGUGUAGGAGUGAAAUCCGUAGAUAUUAGGAGGAACACCGGUGGCGAAGGCGGCUACCUGGACCGAUAUUGACGCUGAGACGCGAAAGCGUGGGGAGCAAACAGGAUUAGAUACCCUGGUAGUCCACGCCGUAAACGAUGAGAACUAGGUGUUGCGGGUA
rnacentral:rRNA from 1 species